CAGUACAAGUUAGAAUGUGGGCAACUUGACAGUGGUUGCGCAGGCACUUUGGUGACUCUAGAUAACCUCGGGCCGAUUGCAUGUCCCUGUGACGGCGACGACGCAUUCGGAUAUCUGCCCUAUAAACUUUCGAUGGUACUUUCUGCGCCUACCACGGUGACCAUGGGUAACGGGGAAUCCGGGUUCGAUUCUGGAGAGGGAGCCUGAAAAACGGCUACCACAUCCAAGGAAGGCAACAGGCGCGCAAAUUACCCCCUCCCGACACUGGGAGGUAGUGA
rnacentral:rRNA from 1 species